UACAGGGGGUGCAAGCGUUAUUCGGAAUUAUUGGGCGUAAAGAGCGCGUAGGCGGUCUACUAAGUUUGGUGUGAAAUCCCUGGGCUCAAUCCAGGAAGUGCAUUGAAUACUGGUAGACUUGAGUAUUGGAGAGGUAAGCGGAAUUCCCAGUGUAGAGGUGAAAUUCGUAGAUAUCGGGAGGAACAACAGUGGCGAAGGCGGCUUACUGGACAAUUACUGACGCUAAGGCGCGAAAGCGUGGGGAGCAAACAGG
rnacentral:rRNA from 1 species